rnacentral:rRNA from 1 species
UCAGUCGACUCCUACGGGGGAGGCAGCAGUGGGGAAUAUUGCACAAUGGGGGAAACCCUGAUGCAGCCAUGCCGCGUGUGUGAAGAAGGCCUUCGGGUUGUAAAGCACUUUCAGUAGGGAGGAAGGUAGUGUAGUUAACACCUGCACUAUUUGACGUUACCUACAGAAGAAGCACCGGCUAACUCCGUGCCAGCAGCCGCGGUAAUACGGAGGGUGCGAGCGUUAAUCGGAAUUACUGGGCGUAAAGCGCAUGCAGGCGGCCUGUUAAGUCAGAUGUGAAAGCCCGGGGCUUAACCUCGGAAUUGCAUUUGAAACUGGCAGGCUAGAGUCUUGUAGAGGGGGUAGGAAUUUCAGGUGUAGCGGUGAAAUGCGUAGAGAUCUGAAGGAAUACCAGUGGCGAAGGCGGCCCCCUGGACAAAGACUGACGCUCAGAUGCGAAAGCGUGGGGAGCAAACAGGAUUAGAUACCCUGGUAG